rnacentral:rRNA from 1 species
GACGAACUGCCCAAACGUUGUCCGGAUUCAUUGGGCGUAAAGAGCGUGUAGGCGGCCUGUCGCGUCGGCUGUGAAAACCCGGGGCUCAACCCCGGGCCUGCAGUCGAUACGGGCAGGCUAGAGUCCGGCAGGGGAGACUGGAAUUCCUGGUGUAGCGGUGAAAUGCGCAGAUAUCAGGAGGAACACCGGUGGCGAAGGCGGGUCUCUGGGCCGGAACUGACGCUGAGGAGCGAAAGCGUGGGGAGCGAACAGG